AUGUACGGCAAGCGUCUGCGAACCAUCGGAGACGAUCAUGUUACUCGCGUUACAGAGGCGGAGUCCAUGGAGCAGGACAUACGUGUCCUGCUUGGUCAGAUCCAUGGUUUCUACAAGAAGGCGCUCAAUCGGCUGCCGGUGAAGGGGAUUCGCUCGUUGGCACCGCGCCUUCUCAAGGCCGGCCUUUGCAUCGGCUUCCUCGACCCAAUCUCCAACAUCAUCCUCAACACAAUCUCCUACUGUCCUUCGCCGUUGCCCACCCACGAGGAGGGUGUACUGGCGAGGAAGACGAUCUUGUCCAAGAUCAUCACCGACACUGACGACCCCAGAGUCUUUGAAUUACCGCUGGACGCGCACACGGCCCACAGCAUGACGGUCGCGCGGCGGUCUCUGGAAGGUCUCGUGAGCUUCCUCAUCUACUACUACCGCUACCUCGCGGAGGCAGAAGCCCUGCGCUACCUGCGCCUGGCCGGGGCGGACCUCCUCCUUGCCGUGUGGCUUAUUGAUCAAGAUCGUAACAAGCCCUCAGUGUCCGUCUCUGACCUGCUUGACAGGAAGCCUCCGUUCGAUAUCUCCUCCCCUACCACCAAAAUAGCCCUGCGCUGUGCAGCCGCCUCCGCGAGGCACCCCGAACCAGCCAUUCUGGUGAGUGCGUCACUGUUGCUGGCAUCUUCGCUGGGUAAUGUAUCUGAGUAUCUACAUCAGCAUCCCCGCCUCUCCAUUAGAAUGGUAAGGUGCCUCCGCCAGUGGCUCAGUCUUCAACACUGUCGAGAUAUGCCCCCCAUGGACAUAUGGCGUCCCAUGUAUCUUGCCACUUUACGUCUUGCUGUUGGGAAGAGGAAGGAGAAGAAGGAGGAGAAGACGUCUGGAUAUACAGUCUUUGAAGCUGUUGCUUCUCGACAAGAUCCAUGA
rnacentral:rRNA from 1 species